GAAUCAUGCAUUAGUAUUGACUGGUACAUGCAUAUUUUUCUUUUCAUUUGUUGAAUCCAAUCUUCUUUAGUAUUAUUUAACAACUCCUCGCAAGAUUGCUUCUCUCUUCCUAAGAUUUGAGUAAUGUGCCUGACAUGUUAGCAUGGAUAUCUUUAACAGAUGGUGGUGAAGUUUUUAUCCUUGGUGGUGAUCGCCAUGGAGUGCUUAGUGAUCUUGAGAAAAUAAACCUGCAGAAGCAUUUAGGUGGUAGUCCACAACCUUGAUCAUACUAGAAAUAUUUUUAAGUACACAUGUUUAGCAAAAACUUUUUUCCCCUUUUGACACAUUCUGCUAUCAAACUUGGGGAAGUAGUUUUUGCAUUCUCAUCUGCUGCAUCAUAAUAAGCAAGUGUCUGUUAAUUACAAUCCUCUGUCAUUAAAAAACUGAAGUUGCCUAGCCAAUGAUGCAAUGCAAGCGUAUGAUCAUCCUGCUAAUAUUCAUGGCAUUUGCCUCAUAUUCUGAUAUAUGGUAAUCUCUCCAUUUCACAUUCCAACAGAUUCAACUCAUGCUGUUUUGAAUAGUGUCUCUGGUCUCGAUGGGACAAAAGUUGUGGAGAUUGCAGCUGGAGCAGAGCAUUCUGCUUUAUUG
rnacentral:misc_RNA from 1 species